AGGACACUUUGCAUUGGCAGCACAUGCUUCAGUGGUCUGGGAGUGUUUAUAGCCCUGUGAGUUUAACACUUCAUGACUGAGAGCUGUCCUUCAUGACAACAGAACCCACAACAACCAUGACUUUUAUCACCAUCUUCAUCUGGAUACUUGCCCUCUGUCUCCAAGAGUCAAGAGGCCAGGUCACAGUGACCCAGACUCCUGCAGUGAAAGCUGUUUCAGUGGGUCACUCAGUCAGUCUCAGCUGUAAAACCAGCAGUGCUGUACACAGUAACAGCAAUGGACACUAUUUGCACUGGUAUCAACAGAAACCUGGAGGAGCUCCUAAACUCCUAAUAUACUGGGCUAAAACCCUUCAGUCUGGGACUCCAUCUAGAUUCAGUGGCAGUGGAUCUGGGAGUGACUUCACUCUGACCAUCAGUGGAGUCCAGGCUGAAGAUGCAGGAGAUUACUACUGUCAGAGUUACCACAGCAGUGGUAAUGUGUUCACACAGUGAUACAGAGCCGUACAAAAACCUCCCUCAGUCAGACUGCACAGUGACUGUACUGAUACAGAUUGGGACCUACUGCAGGUGCUGAGGGGGAAGAGACAGAGACAUGGAACACUGAGCAGCGAGGAAACAUUGAAUAAGGGUAGAAAGUGUCAUUUAAAUCACAUGUUCUCCUUCAUCAUCAUCAUCAUCAUCAUGGUUGUGACUCAUUAUAUUUGUUAUGACCUGAAAGAUCAUCUAAAUGUUAUGAGGUUUUGAAAACACAAUACCUGCCAAAUACAAAAUAAGAAGUAAAAGAAAAGGUGUCAUGACCUCAACAUUGCUUCAACGUUACAAUCACUGAAGCCCCCAAAACAAGUCCCCAAAUGUCUGAUUUAAAUGGAUUUGAUUUUACAGGAUUAUAUUAACUAUUUUCAAUAUGCAGGUUCCUGACUGUUAGAUCUGUGAAUGAGACAUGAUGCUGGGUUCAAACAUGAGACACUAUCUACAUAAAGUAUAAUUUCCAUUUUAGCUGUCAUUAAUUACAUGGUGACAUAUCUGUUAUGUCUACCUCCCUGAAUCCACCAUAGAGGUUAAACCUGUCCACUCCCUCACAUCUGGCCCAGUCUAGGGUAUUUCAGGCAGUGAAACUGUUCAACUGCUAGACUGAUAGCUGUCAGACUAUAAGGGCACCAGACGAGACACAGAUGCAGACACGGGAGGCAGAUGGUUUGAGUCAUUUUUUAUUAUAAUCACCUCCUUGACCAAGGCCC